AUUGAACGCUGGCGGCAGGCCUAACACAUGCAAGUCGAACGAGUGGCGGACGGGUGAGUAAUGUCUGGGAAACUGCCUGAUGGAGGGGGAUAACUACUGGAAACGGUAGCUAAUACCGCAUACCAUCAGAUGGGCCCAGAGGGGAUUAGCUGGUUGGUGGGGUAACGGCGCACCAAGGCGACGAUCCCGAGCUGGGCUGAGAGGAUGACCAGCGACACUGGAACGUAGACACGGUCCAGACUCCUACGAGAGGCAGCAGUGGGGAAUGUUGGACAAUGGGCGCAAGCCUGAUGCAGCCAUGCCGCGUGUAUGAAGAAGGCCUUCGGGUUGUAAAGUACUUUCAGCGGGGAGGCGUUACCCGCAGAAGAAGCACCGGCUAACUCCGUGCCAGCAGCCGCGGUAAUUC
rnacentral:rRNA from 1 species